UCUGAGUUUGAUCCUGGCUCAGGACGAACGCUGGCGGCGUGCCUAAUACAUGCAAGUCGAGCGGACAGAAGGGAGCUUGCUCCCGGAUGUUAGCGGCGGACGGGUGAGUAACACGUGGGUAACCUGCCUGUAAGACUGGGAUAACUCCGGGAAACCGGAGCUAAUACCGGAUAGUUCCUUGAACCGCAUGGUUCAAGGAUGAAAGACGGUUUCGGCUGUCACUUACAGAUGGACCCGCGGCGCAUUAGCUAGUUGGUGGGGUAAUGGCUCACCAAGGCGACGAUGCGUAGCCGACCUGAGAGGGUGAUCGGCCACACUGGGACUGAGACACGGCCCAGACUCCUACGGGAGGCAGCAGUAGGGAAUCUUCCGCAAUGGACGAAAGUCUGACGGAGCAACGCCGCGUGAGUGAUGAAGGUUUUCGGAUCGUAAAACUCUGUUGUUAGGGAAGAACAAGUACCGUUCGAAUAGGGCGGUACCUUGACGGUACCUAACCAGAAAGCCACGGCUAACUACGUGCCAGCAGCCGCGGUAAUACGUAGGUGGCAAGCGUUGUCCGGAAUUAUUGGGCGUAAAGCGCGCGCAGGCGGUUUCUUAAGUCUGAUGUGAAAGCCCCCGGCUCAACCGGGGAGGGUCAUUGGAAACUGGGGAACUUGAGUGCAGAAGAGGAGAGUGGAAUUCCACGUGUAGCGGUGAAAUGCGUAGAGAUGUGGAGGAACACCAGUGGCGAAGGCGACUCUCUGGUCUGUAACUGACGCUGAGGCGCGAAAGCGUGGGGAGCGAACAGGAUUAGAUACCCUGGUAGUCCACGCCGUAAACGAUGAGUGCUAAGUGUUAGAGGGUUUCCGCCCUUUAGUGCUGCAGCAAACGCAUUAAGCACUCCGCCUGGGGAGUACGGUCGCAAGACUGAAACUCAAAGGAAUUGGCGGGGGCCCGCACAAGCGGUGGAGCAUGUGGUUUAAUUUGAAGCAACGCGAAGAACCUUACCAGGUCUUGACAUCCUCUGACAACCCUAGAGAUAGGGCUUUCCCUUCGGGGACAGAGUGACAGGUGGUGCAUGGUUGUCGUCAGCUCGUGUCGUGAGAUGUUGGGUUAAGUCCCGCAACGAGCGCAACCCUUGAUCUUAGUUGCCAGCAUUCAGUUGGGCACUCUAAGGUGACUGCCGGUGACAAACCGGAGGAAGGUGGGGAUGACGUCAAAUCAUCAUGCCCCUUAUGACCUGGGCUACACACGUGCUACAAUGGACAGAACAAAGGGCUGCAAGACCGCAAGGUUUAGCCAAUCCCAUAAAUCUGUUCUCAGUUCGGAUCGCAGUCUGCAACUCGACUGCGUGAAGCUGGAAUCGCUAGUAAUCGCGGAUCAGCAUGCCGCGGUGAAUACGUUCCCGGGCCUUGUACACACCGCCCGUCACACCACGAGAGUUUGCAACACCCGAAGUCGGUGAGGUAACCUUUAUGGAGCCAGCCGCCGAAGGUGGGCAAGAUUA
rnacentral:rRNA from 1 species